rnacentral:rRNA from 1 species
UGCAGUCGAGCGAGAUCCAACCAGCCGCAAGGCUGGGGAAGACCGAGCGGCGAACGGGUGAGUAACACAUGAGCAACCUGCCCCGAAGAUCGGGAUAACACCGGGAAACCGGUGCUAAUACCGGAUACCCCCGGCGGACCGCAUGGUCUGUUGAGGAAAGGAUUCUGCUUCGGGAGGGGCUCGCGGCCUAUCAGCUAGUUGGUGGGGUAACGGCCCACCAAGGCUUCGACGGGUAGCUGGUCUGAGAGGACGACCAGCCACACUGGGACUGAGACACGGCCCAGACUCCUACGGGAGGCAGCAGUGGGGAAUCUUGCGCAAUGGGCGAAAGCCUGACGCAGCAACGCCGCGUGGGGGAUGAAGGCCUUCGGGUUGUAAACCCCUUUCAGCAGGAACGAAAAUGACGGUACCUGCAGAAGAAGCCCCGGCCAACUACGUGCCAGCAGCCGCGGUAAUACGUNGGGGGCAAGCGUUGUCCGGAUUCAUUGGGCGUAAAGAGCUCGUAGCGGCUUGGCAAGUCGGGUGUGAAAACUCCAGGCUCAACCUGGAGAUGCCACCCGAGACUGCUAUGGCUAGAGUCCGGUAGGGGACCACGGAAUUCCUGGU